rnacentral:rRNA from 1 species
GACGAACGCUGGCGGCGUGCCUAAUACAUGCAAGUCGAACGAGAGCGACCGGUGCUUGCACUGGUCAAUCUAGUGGCGAACGGGUGAGUAACACGUGGGUAACCUGCUCAUCAGAGGGGGAUAACAUCCGGAAACGGAUGCUAAAACCGCAUAGGUCUUCGAGCCGCAUGGCUUGAAGAGGAAAAGAGGCGCAAGCUUCUGCUGAUGGAUGGACCCGCGGUGCAUUAGCUAGUUGGUGAGGUAACGGCUCACCAAGGCCGUGAUGCAUAGCCGACCUGAGAGGGUGAUCGGCCACAUUGGGACUGAGACACGGCCCAAACUCCUACGGGAGGUAGCAGUAGGGAAUCUUCCGCAAAGGACGCAAGUCUGACGGAGCAACGCCGCGUGAGUGAAGAAGGUUUUCGGAUCGUAAAACUCUGUUGUUAGAGAAGAACAAGUGCUAGAGUAACUGUUAGCGCCUUGACGGUAUCUAACCAGAAAGCCACGGCUAACUACGUG